CAGAGUUGCAAAACUCCCAACCAUUGUGAACCUACCUCACCGUUGCUUCGGCGGGUGGCCCUCGCCAGGGCCGCGCCGGCCUCCGUGCCGGCAACCCGUCAGAGGACCGAAACUCUUCGUUAUUACUGGCCUCUCUGAGUAACUUAUACAAUAAGUCA
rnacentral:misc_RNA from 1 species